CUCUCAACUUUAUAAAAAAAAACCCCAAACCUAAACCUGUAUCCUUCUCAGAGUGCUGAGAAUAUUCCCAGUAUUGUAUAUUACAAUGAUGCUACCGAGAAUAUUGUUCUACAAUAGUUGGAGUUUUUGUUAUUAAACAAAUG